rnacentral:rRNA from 1 species
GAUGAACGCUGGCGGCGUGCCUAAUACAUGCAAGUCGAGCGAACGGACGAGAAGCUUGCUUCUCUGAUGUUAGCGGCGGACGGGUGAGUAACACGUGGAUAACCUACCUAUAAGACUGGGAUAACUUCGGGAAACCGGAGCUAAUACCGGAUGAUAUUUUGAACCGCAUGGUUCAAAAGUGAAAGACGGUCUUGCUGUCACUUAUAGAUGGAUCCGCGCUGCAUUAGCUAGUUGGUAAGGUAACGGCUUACCAAGGCAACGAUGCAUAGCCGACCUGAAAGGGUGAUCGGCCACACUGGAACUGAGACACGGUCCAGACUCCUACGGGAGGCGGCAGUAGGGAAUCUUCCGCAAUGGGCGAAAGCCUGACGGAGCAACGCCGCGUGAGUGAUGAAGGUCUUCGGAUCGUAAAACUCUGUUAUUAGGGAAGAACAUAUGUGUAAGUAACUGUGCACAUCUUGACGGUACCUAAUCAGAAAGCCACGGCUAACUACGUG